AACGAACGCUGGCGGCAGGCCUUACACAUGCAAGUCGAACGUGAAAGUCCUUCGGGAUGAGUAAAGUGGCGCACGGGUGAGUAACGCGUGGGAACGUACCCUUCAGUACGGGAUAACAGCGGGAAACUGCUGCUAAUACCGUAUAUUCUCGAGAGAGGAAAGAUUUAUCGCUGAAGGAUCGGCCCGCGUCAGAUUAGCCAGUUUGUGGGGUAAUGGCCUAACAAGGCUACUAUCUGUAGCUGGUCUGAGAGGAUGAUCAGCCACACUGGAACUGAGACACUGUCCAGACUCCUACGGGAGGCAGCAGUGGGGAAUAUUGGACAAUGGGCGAAAGCCUGUUCCAGCCAUGCCGCGUGAAUGAUGAAGGCCUUAGGGUUGUAAAGUUCUUUUGACGGGGAAGAUAAUGACGGUACCCGUAGAAUAAGCUCCGGCUAACUUCGUGCCAGCAGCCGCGGUAA
rnacentral:rRNA from 1 species